UACGUAGGGGGCAAGCGUUGUCCGGAUUUAUUGGGCGUAAAGAGCGUGUAGGCGGCUAGGUAGGUCCGUUGUGAAAACUCGAGGCUCAACCUCGAGACGUCGAUGGAAACCAUCUAGCUAGAGUCCGGAAGAGGAGAGUGGAAUUCCUGGUGUAGCGGUGAAAUGCGCAGAUAUCAGGAAGAACACCCGUGGCGAAAGCGGCUCUCUGGGACGGUACUGACGCUGAGACGCGAAAGCGUGGGGAGCAAACAGG
rnacentral:rRNA from 1 species